AUGAACGCUAGCGGCAGGCUUAACACAUGCAAGUCGAGGGGCAUCGAGAGUAGCAAUACUUGUCGGCGACCGGCGCAAGGGUGCGUAACACGUGAGCAACAUACCCGUUUCAGGAGGAUAACCGGAGGAAACUCUGCCUAAUACUCCAUGACAUCAUCAAACGGCAUCGUUUGAUGAUUAAAGAUUUAUCGGAAACGGCUUGGCUCGCGGGACAUUAGCUCGUUGGUGAGGUAACGGCUCACCAAGGCCACGAUGUCUAGGGGUUCUGAGAGGAAGGUCCCCCACACUGGAACUGAGACACGGUCCAGACUCCUACGGGAGGCAACAGUGAGGAAUAUUGGACAAUGGUCGGAAGACUGAUCCAGCCAUGCCGCGUGAAGGUUACUGUCCUAUGGAUAUUAAACUUCUUUUGUAUGAGAGCAAUAAGGUGCACGCGUGCACCGAUGAGAGUAUCAUACGAAUAAGCAUCGGCUAACUCCGUG
rnacentral:rRNA from 1 species